ensembl:lncRNA
UUUGUAUUUUUUUUUUCUGUGUUUUUAGGUCCUUCACACCUUUCAAGAGCAACUAAUAUUAAAUUGUAUGUUCUAUGAAUGUUUUAGGGAGUCUGCCCCUAAGUCACCAGACACUUUGUCAGAGCUUGCAUCACUGAAUUUUCCUUCUCCAGAUUCAGAAGAGUUCCACCUCCUUUGUGGCCUAUUGCUAAUGACCUUUUCUUUGUUGAAGCCAUCCAUCCAUCAGCUGCUGACCUCUCUCCAGCGGAGUCUCCUUUUUGGUUUCCAUAAUGUUUAAAUUAUCAAAUGAUUACUAUUAAAUCACGUUCUUUUGAAUUCUUUUGGCGAAAGAGAAAGACUGAACUCAGAGUGGUAAAGCUCAAAAAAAUCUUUAUUUUUUACAUUUCUGGAAAUGGAGACAGAACACACAUGCUCAGAUUUGAAUUUUCUGCAGCUUGUGUCUGGUUUCCUGUGCAGCUCUGCACUAAACUUCCCCUUUCUUUACUUCCCCUUUCUAAAGUCUGUUGCCAGAUCGACCUGUCACCCUCUGACCUAGUUGUUUCUUAUGCCUCUAUUACAAAGUACAAAAGGCAAUAUAAUCAGAAAAUAAGCAUUAAAAAUAUAUAUUUAUAUCAUAACAUUGCAUAAAGUUUUAUGUACUUAAUUUUAAAAAGGGGGAAGUCAUUCAAAUUCUGAAGUAAAAAAAGCUAAAUGAACAUUCUCCAAGUGUGGUGAUUUCAUAUUUAUUUAUCUGGGAUGUUGAAAGACUUUUCUGUUUGGUUGCAAACCUGCCUAAAUUCAUAUUAGUUAUUACUUCCAUUACAACAAUUAAUUUUGGUUCUUGUGACAUGAUAUGUACUACUAUGUGAUCGAUAAGCAUUUAGGAAGCUUAUUUCCAAUCUUAUCAACCACUCCAAGCCCUUUCGACUUUAUAAAAAGAAACAAAUAGUUAGUGCCUGUUAGAACCACUAAAGAUCCGAGGACAACAUAACUGAAACCUGAUAACUAGAAACAGAGAUUAUAUUCGUUUAAAAAGAAUAUAUAAUUCAACACAUCCCCCUUCCUUUUCAAUUAUCAAAAUUUGUAUAUCUAUGAGGGAAAUGUACUGGUAGUUAGAAAAGCCAGCAAAAAAACAUUAACUUUCUUAAUGAUGAAAUAUUGUUGAAUAGUGUGAAAUAUAUCACUUCAUUGAAGAAACUUUUAAAUAUUUUAUAGGUACGGUAAUUCAUGUAGAAAAACAAUUGGUUGCAUUAAUAGUUUUAUUAAGAUGAAGAGAGUAAAAGUCUACAUUCAGGGGAAACCAGAGUAUCUCAUCCUAAAUAACAUAUGGUUAAUAUAUUCUGUAAUUUUAUAAAUGUUAAAAGUGGGGCCAUGUGUUACCAUCAAUAUGAUUGAGAAAAUUCAAGAAAAUAAGUGACAGUCGGGACAAUCAUAACAUUAUUCAAAACAAAUAUACUGCCAUAGCUUUCUUUAUUCCCCUUGCCAUCAAUGGGAUAUUUCCAAAGCAAAAAAACUAAUCCCAUCAUAAUGUCUGUUGAAAACUUUAUCACGGUCAUAGUUGUAAUCCUUUGGCUUUUUUUUGGUGUAAUUACAGUUACUAGUCUAAGAAAUACUGUCAUUGAAUCACAUAUAACAAAAAUCCCAAGUAACUAGUUUGGUUGUCUAUUUCUGUAUGUAUAUUUCUGUUCCUAUUAUUGCACACUAUUACAUUUUUUCAAGACAUUUGCAUAAUGAGUUUAAUAAAUAGAUAAAUAUAUUUGUGGGUAAAUAUUAAAUAGAUAUUACACUUUAUAAGUCACAAGGGUAAUUGUUUGUUAAAUAGUUAUCCAUGCUAAGGUUUACCCAGACCCUUUUUCUUACAUCUGAAGUGAAUGGAACUUAAAUCCCAACUAAACAGGAAAAGAAGAAGUAAACAGUAAGAUAAAACAAAAAAAUCAUCCUUUCACAGUUGUAGUGUUUUUAUGGGGUUUCCAUCCAUGAUUUACCAUUUAAUAGAUGGUAAAGACAAACAGUGCCACUAAUAGAGGGAUUACAUUAAUUCUGACAGAGGAUGCGUGACUUGUUGUCGUCGUGGAUGUUAUAGCUGUUGAAGGCAUUUUAGUGGUUGUUGUUGCGGCUGUUGUCAUGGUUGGAGCAGCUGUUGGUGGUGGUGGAGCAGCAGUUAUUGUUGUUGUAGCAGCAGUCUUUGUGGUUGGAGCAACUGCUGUGGUUGUUGGAGCAGCAGUUGUAGUGGUUGGAGCAGCCGUUGUAGUUGUUAGAACAGCUGCUGAUGUGGUUGGAGCAGCUGUUGUUGUGGUUGGAGCAGCUGUUGUUGUGGUUGGAGCAGCUGUUGUUGUGGUUGGAGCAGCUGUUGUUGUGGUUGGAGCAGCAGUUGUUGUGGUUGGAGCAGCUGUUGUUGUGGUUGGAGCAGCUGUUGUUGUUGGAGCAGCAGUUGUUGUGGUUGGAGCAGCUGUUGUUGUGGUUGGAGCAGCUGUUGUUGUGGUUGGAGCAGCUGUGGUUGUUGUUGGAGCAGCAGUUGUAGUGGUUGGAGCAGCUGUUGUUGUGGUUGGAGCAGCAGUUGUUGUUGUUGGAGCAGCUGUUGUUGUGGUUGGAGCAGCUGUUGUUGUUGUUGGAGCAGCUGUUGUUGUGGUUGCAGCUGCAGUUGUUGUGGUUGGAGCAGCUGUUGUUGUGGUUGGAGCAGCUGUUGUCGUGGUUGGAGCAGCAGUUGUCGUGGUUGG